rnacentral:rRNA from 1 species
AUUGAACGCUGGCGGCAGGCCUAACACAUGCAAGUCGAGCGGAUGAAGGGAGCUUGCUCCUGGAUUCAGCGGCGGACGGGUGAGUAAUGCCUAGGAAUCUGCCUGGUAGUGGGGGAUAACGUCCGGAAACGGGCGCUAAUACCGCAUACGUCCUGAGGGAGAAAGUGGGGGAUCUUCGGACCUCACGCUAUCAGAUGAGCCUAGGUCGGAUUAGCUAGUUGGUGGGGUAAAGGCCUACCAAGGCGACGAUCCGUAACUGGUCUGAGAGGAUGAUCAGUCACACUGGAACUGAGACACGGUCCAGACUCCUACGGGAGGCAGCAGUGGGGAAUAUUGGACAAUGCGCGAAAGCCUGAUCCAGCAAUGCCGCGUGUGUGAAGAAGGUCUUCGGAUUGUAAAGCACUUUAAGUUGGGAGGAAGGGCAGUAAGUUAAUACCUUGCUGUUUUGACGUUACCAACAGAAUAAGCACCGGCUAACUUCGUG